rnacentral:lncRNA from 1 species
AUAUGUACGACAUAUAUAUCAACAGAGACACAAACUCAGCAGAUACCACACAAAUGACCAUUAAUUACAGAAUCGAUGAAUUUAAAUUUAUCAAGGAAAAUAAUUCCUAGCCACCGUACCUUUCUCAGUGCUGUGACUUUGGCAGCAAAACAAAUAUCUGCAACAAUUUUGGAAAGAAAAAAAAAACACAAAUUAGUGAAAACUAAUUACUAAUUACCAAUUCCACAUAAACACCAAGGUCCAAGAACAUAUCAGUUAUCACCAAACACAUACUCGUACAAACCAAAAAAGGAUUAAGAAACAUUAAAACAACACCGAAAAAUUAAACAUUCCCUUCCAAUUAAUAAUUCAUACACCAAAUUCAAGGCUUUAACCUUCAAAAAAACUAUUCCAUUUAAUUUUCGACUUGCUCAACCCAAUAAAAAAUCAAUAUUGGGAAAAAACCCAAAUAUACCUACAAAAAAACUAUUCCAUUUAAUUUUCGACUUUCUCAAACCAAUAAAAAAAUCCAUCUUGGGAUAAAAACGAAACAUACCUUCAAAAAAAAUAUUCCAUUUGAUUUUUGAUUUUCUCAAACCAAUAAAAAAUCCAUCUUGGGAAAAAACAUAAAUAUACCUUCAAAAAAUUAUUCCAUUUAAUUUUUGAAUUUCUCAAAAAUCCAUCUUGGGAAAAAACCUAAAUAUGAAAUAAAACUGUGUGUUCCAUUUAGUGAGGAAAGGUGUCAUAGUGAGUGUGUUUCAUGGAAAAGGAAAACAAAACAAAUCACUGUGUUUCAUUUAGUGAGGAAACAAAACUGUGCGUUUUGCUAGAAAAAAACAGUACAAAGCCAAACGCUGCGUUUUACUUUAUUCAGGAAAACAAUAGCGCCGUGUUUCAUGUUUUGACAAAAUAGGGUUUCCAAUUUCCUAACCGGGUCGUGAAACCCUACCCGAGUCAAACAUGCGGGUCUUCUCUGCUUCUAGGAUCGAGCCGCACCCUAAUACCACAAUUUUGCAAUUCAGAACGCCGAUCCUCUUCUCCGGCGAUUCUGAGCACAAUUCUGCUCGCUCAUGCAUGGGAAAAUCGUGCAACUUGUACGAUUCACCAAGUUGACUCCCGAUUUUAAUAACAUUGAACCAAAGUACUUGUUUAAGUAAACAGAAACGAAAAAAAUUAAAAAUCAACAGACAUAACAAACUCGGCAGAUUUCAUACACAUAGCCAUUAAUUCAACAGACACCAGAUAUCACACACAUAGCCAUUAAUUCAAUAGACACAUACUCGGAAGAUAUCACACACAUAGCCAUUAAUUACAGAAUCAAUAAACUAAAAUUUAAGCCGAAAAUAAUUUCUAGUCGCCAUACCUCUUUUGGUGCUGUUAACUUUGGCAGCAAAACAAAUACCUGUAACAAUUUAAAACACAAAUCAUUGGAAGAAAAAAAAAGACUAAUUCAAUAUAAAAACCUAAAAAAGGAUUAAAAAACAUACAAUACCAAAGAAUUAAGCAUUCCCUUUAAUUAACACUAACAAAAUAUUACUUAUAUAAAAACCUAAGCAAAUACUAGUACUUAUAUAAAAACCUAAAAAGGAAAAAAUUAAAACAUUAAAACAACACCAAAAAAUCAAACUGUCCCCUUCCAAUUAAUAAUCCAUACACCAAAUUCAAGGGUUUAACCUUAAAAAAAAAUAAAAAAAAUCCAUUUAAUUUUUCUCCUCCCCCUCCCAAAAAAAAAAACAUAAACACACAAUCCUAGGGUUUAAAAUUUCACAUAAGAAAAAAAAAAUCCAAUUUUUCUCCUCCACCAUUAUAUUUUUUCUUUUAUUUUUCAAAAACCAAUUAAAAAAAACGCCCACAGAAAAAUCCCUAAUAUGGUUUGAUCUAAAAAAAAAUUACAUAAAAAAAUUAGAAAAGUGAUGCUUAGAAAAAAGGGAAAGAGAUUAAUUACAGUGUUGGGAGGUUGAAACUGGGAUUGCGUUGAGAUAAUUAUAAUUCGGUUUUGUUGAGAAGCGAUAAGAAGAANNN